GUAGGUGGCAAGCGUUGUCCGGAAUUAUCGGGCGUAAAGCGCGCGCAGGUGGUUCUUUAAGUCUGAUGUGAAAGCCCCCGGCUCAACCGGGGAGGGUCAUUGGAAACUGGGGAACUUGAGUGCAGGAGAGGAAAGUGGAAUUCCACGUGUAGCGGUGAAAUGCGUAGAUAUGUGGAGGAACACCAGUGGCGAAGGCGACUUUCUGGCCUGUAACUGACACUGAGGCGCGAAAGCGUGGGGAGCAAACAGGGAUUAGAUACCCUGGUAGUCCACGCCGUAAACGAUGAGUGCUAAGUGUUGGGGGGGUUUCCCGCCCCUCAGUGCUGCAGCUAACGCAUUAAGCACUCCGCCUGGGGAUACGGCCGCAAGACUG
rnacentral:rRNA from 1 species